AUUGAACGCUGGCGGCAUGCCUUACACAUGCAAGUCGAACGGCAGCACGGGUGCUUGCACCUGGUGGCGAGUGGCGAACGGGUGAGUAAUACAUCGGAACGUACCUUAUCGUGGGGGAUAACGCAGCGAAAGUUGCGCUAAUACCGCAUACGCCCUGAGGGGGAAAGCGGGGGACCGUAAGGCCUCGCGCGAUUGGAGCGGCCGAUGUCUGAUUAGCUUGUUGGUGAGGUAAAAGCUCACCAAGGCGAUGAUCAGUGGCUGGUCUGAGAGGACGAUCAGCCACACUGGGACUGAGACACGGCCCAGACUCCUACGGGAGGCAGCAGUGGGGAAUUUUGGACAAUGGGGGCAACCCUGAUCCAGCAAUGCCGCGUGAGUGAAGAAGGCCUUCGGGUUGUAAAGCUCUUUUGUCAGGGAAGAAACAGCAGCUCUAACACAGUCUGCGAAUGACGGUACCUGAAGAAUAAGCACCGGCUAACUACGUGCCAGCAGCCGCGGUAA
rnacentral:rRNA from 1 species